rnacentral:pre_miRNA from 1 species
GGUUAGAAGGUUUUUUAAAUUUGCAGGUCCUAUCUUGUGGUAUGUAUGAAUUGAGUAUACGGUGAUUUAUGGUGCGUAUUGAGGGCUUACCGUAAGACAAGGCCACGAAUUUUUAAAACUUUCAAACC